rnacentral:pre_miRNA from 1 species
ACAUGCGCUUUGAGGUUGGGAGCACUUGCCGUUUGCAAAUGUUGCCUUCAUUUCAUCUGCAAGGUAAAGUGCUGUCCAACUUGAUAGUGCGAAC